rnacentral:rRNA from 1 species
CCUACGGGUGGCAGCAGUGAGGAAUAUUGGUCAAUGGCCGGGAGCCUGAACCAGCCAAGUCGCGUGAGGGAAGAAGGCCCUACGGGUUGUAAACCUCUUUUGUCCGGGAGUAAGAUGCACGUCGGGAGCUGCUCUGAGAGUACCGGACGAAAAAGCAUCGGCUAACUCCGUGCCAGCAGCCGCGGUAAUACGGAAGAUGCGAGCGUUAUCCGGAUUUAUUGGGUUUAAAGGGUGCGCAGGCGGGGGAACAAGUCAGCGGUAAAAUCGCGGGGCUCAACCCCGCUCCGCCGUUGAAACUGUGUCCCUUGAGUGCGCGACGGGUAGGCGGAAUGCGUGGUGUAGCGGUGAAAUGCAUAGAUAUCACGAGGAACCCCGAUCGCGAAGGCAGCCUACCGGCGCGCAACUGACGCUCAUGCACGAAGGCGUGGGUAUCGAACAGGAUUAGAUACCCCAGUAGUC